CCUGGAAAAGGAAGAAUAAUGUUGAUUUACAACUAAAAAAUUGUUUGGUGAAGAGAAUAUGAGAAUUAUUGUAAAGAACAGAAAAAAUUAAAAUGGGCAGUUAAAUGAGUUUGACAGUGAAAAAUAAGAAUUACAAGAAUCAGUGUUAAUACGAAUAGUAAUAAACAGAAUAAAAAUGAAAAAGAAUAAAGGUUAUGAAUAUAUUUAAGUAGAAAACGAAUCCAAGUAUAUACGAGGUGAGAUUAAAAAAUAAGUUUGCUGAAAAUAAAGAAUGUUUAUUUUUCCAAUUAAUUAUUUGAAAUUGCAUUAUUAUACGAGACCAUGGCGACGAAAUAAGUUAUUUUUUCACGAUUCAGUCAAAAUUGGAUUUGGUAGUGACUACACAACAGAAAUGACUACUGCACCACAAAACUGAUAAAUUGUAUAUCGAUUAUAUAAUUUUUGAAAUUAUAUUUAGCCAUGUCCUGUAAUUAUUAAAUAAUGGCGGGUUCGCUCCGUUUGGAGGGAUCUAUGGAUAGGAUGGGAAAAUAAAUAUUUUAUAUUUUUUAUGAUAUAUUUUUUUGUAAUUCCAUUUUUAAGAAUAUAAAUUAAAAUUC